rnacentral:misc_RNA from 1 species
GGAUGAAGAACGCAGCGAAAUGCGAUAAGUAAUGUGAAUUGCAGAAUUCAGUGAAUCAUCGAAUCUUUGAACGCACAUUGCGCCCGCCAGUAUUCUGGCGGGCAUGCCUGUCUGAGCGUCAUUUCAACCCUCAUGCCCCUAGGGCGUGGUGUUGGGGAUCGGCCAAAGCCCGCGAGGGACGGCCGGCCCCUAAAUCUAGUGGCGGACCCGUCGUGGCCUCCUCUGCGAAGUAGUGAUAUUCCGCAUCGGAGAGCGACGAGCCCCUGCCGUUAAACCCCCAACUUUCCAAGGUUGACCUCAGAUCAGGUAGGAAUACCCGCUGAACUUAAGCAUAUCAAUAAGCGGAGGA